rnacentral:tRNA from 11 species
CGGACCCACGGGUUGCCUUCAAAACCGUGGUGGGUGAGGGGUCGGGAAGGUU